AGAGUACAAUACAGUAUGUAGACAGUACAAUACAGUAUGUAGACAGUACAAUACAUAGACAGUACCAUACAGUACAAUACAGUACAUAGACAGUACAAUACAAUACAUAGACAGUACCAUACAGUACAUAGAGAGAACAAUACAGUAUGUAGACAGUACAAUACAGUACAAUACAGUACAUAGACAGUACAAUACAAUACAUAGACAGUACCAUACAGUACAUAGAGAGAACAAUACAGUAUGUAGACAGUACAAUACAGUACAAUACAAUACAUAGACAGUACCAUACAGUACAAUACAGUACAUAGACAUACAAUACAAUACAUAGACAGUACAAUACAAUACAUAGACAGUACCAUACAGUACAAUACAAUACAUAGACAGUACAAUGCUGUACAUAUACAGUACAAUACAGUACAUUGACAGAACAAUACAGUACAUACAGUAUACAUAAAAUGUGCAAUACAGUACAAUACAGUACAUAGACAGUAAAAUAUAGUACAUAG
ensembl:lncRNA